UAUUUUGUACAGAAAGACAAUCUGUUACAGAGAUCGUGAGUCCAGUCUCAGAAGCAAAUAGCAGACUUCAGCUAGCUUACCAAACCAGACAUAGAUAUUGUUCAGGAGACGGAUGAUCAACUGUGUCUAUUCUUCACGCUAAACUGCAUACUUCUUCAUUGAGAUGGAGGGCAUAUACCAGCAGAUAUUCGAGCACAAAAUCUGAAACUUACAAGACGUGACGAGGAAACUACAAUGUUUUCAAGAGAUGACGAACGUGAGGAAAAGGAUAAUGCUUCCCAUAGCACUCCAACGGUCUCCUGAAUUGCACGGAAAAAAAGAUCAUCCCGUUUAUGCCAUAUUUCCUGAUGAAGCCAGAAACCACGAACGCCAGAAAGGGCUGACUGGAAUUCAUGAUAGAUAAAUAGAAGUGGUACCAUGGAUUCACCAAAUGAGAAAUACAUCUUCGGCACAAGUUCCCGAGGCUUGGCGGCACAGCUUCCUCCUUUUGAUUACAUUACUUGGCUGUAGGGGUUUAAUUAUUUCUGUUCUGCUCCAACUUCUCCCAACACAUUCCAGAUGGAGAUGUGGAUAAUCUUGAUUGAUCAUAAAACACAAUCUCUGUAGGCAUGCUGGAGUAUGUAGAAUCAAAAAUUUAAGAUGCGAAACACCAUAGAGAAAAAAAGUAUCAAAUAUGUCAAUAAAGUUGCUUCUUGCAACAAUAUAUACAUAGUUAGACCAGAUCAACGUCUUAAAGUCAUAAAUACACUGAAGCAGUAUGUUCACUCAGUCUGCAUACCAAUAUGAAGCCCAACUAUGCAAUCCUACAGCAAUGAGACACUAAGGAGACCUCUGAAUGCUAAACUGAUACAUUAAUUUCUUGUACUCGAACUUAACCAGCGAUUUUCAUCAGAUGAAAAACCUCAGGAUGCACUUACAGAUGCUGAUAAAAUGUUUAAAUCAACCGCAUUGAUCAUAAUUUGUAUGGAGUAAUGCAAACAUCUCGAAUAUUCCUGUAAGAGACAGAUACUUUACAAUGAAGGUGAUGAUAGAACUAUGCAGGAAGUCCUCAUGUCAAUGGAAGAAAAACACAGACCAUGAUAGUUUUUGGGAAGCGAGAAUAUGGAUAUUUUGGUUGGCAUAGGACUUCGAUUGUGAGACGUGGCAACAAUCGAAUGAACAUGCAUCAUUCAAUUAUAUUAAAAAGAAUCUAAUGCCAGAUGGACUGUUUUGUGCUCGUCCUACGUUUUAAAACUGACUAAUAAUGAAAAUUCAAUGUUAUUAUGCGAACAAACCCAAAUACUUGAUAGAAACAAUUUCAAGCACUAAGCAUUCUGCAAUCACUGAUUUAUCUUUGAAAAAGACAACCAAAUAAUUUUUCGUAUCCAGUAUCUGUAAACCUAGGUCUUCCUUGUACCUAGACAAUGUGGUACCUCGGGAAAUUUAGGUUCCUGUUAGAUUGGUCUCACAAAUUUGGGAAACGGGAGUGUCAACAAAUCCUUCCACGCACCCCUGUCCAUAGCUAGUUCUUUGGUGACACUCCAAUCCUUCAAGUCUCUACGGACUCCUCCCAUGUCAAAUUCGGUCUACCCCGACCUCUCUUGACAUUCUCCGCACGUUGUAGCUGUCCGCUAUGCACUGGAGCUUCUGGAGGUCUGCGCUGAAUAUGCCCAAACCAUCUCAGACGAUGUUGGACAAGCUUCUCUUCAAUUGGUGCUACCCCAACUCUAUCUCGUAUAUCAUCAUUCCGAACUCUAUCCCUCCUCGUGUGGCCACACAUCCAUCUCAACAUAUGCAUCUCCGUGACACCUAAUUGUUGAACAUGUCGCCUUUUAGUUGGCCAACACUCGGCGCCAUACAACAUUGCGGGUCGAACAGCCGUCCUAUAGAACUUGCCUUUUACCUUUUGUGGCACUCUCUUGUCACAAAGAAUGCCAGAAGCUUGGCUCCACUUCAUCCAUCCGGCUUUGAUCCGAUGGUUCACAUCUUCAUCAAUACCCCCAUCCUCCUGCAGCAUUGACGUGUUCUUCUGAUGUACCACCUGCCCACUUCAAGGCUAACCUCCUCCUCCUCCUCACACCUAGUAGUACUGAAACCGCACAUCAUGUACUCGGUUUUAGUUCUACUAAGCCUAAACCCUUUUGAUUCCAAGGUUAGUCUCCAUAACUCUAACUUCUUAUUUACCCCUGUCCGAUUAUCGUCAACUAGCACCACAUCAUCUGCAAAGAGCAUACACCAUGGGAUAUCUCCUUGUAUAUCCCCUGUGACCUCAUCCAUCACCAAGGCAAAAAGAUAAGGGCUCAAAACUAACCCCUGAUGCAGUCCUAUCUUCAUGGGAAAGUCAUCAGUGUCAACAUCACUUGUUCAAACACUUGCCACAACAUUAUCGUACAUGUCCUUGAUGAGGGUAAUGUAUUCUGCUUGGACUUGUGUUUCUCCAAGGCCCACCACAUGACAUUUUGCGGUAUCUUAUCAGUAUCCCUUGUUAUCCCAUACAUUGUCGCAAACAUCAACUGUACCGCCGCCAUGCCCGAAUCGCACACGCAUGCAGUCAGCCAGUUGUUGCAUAGGGCCAUAGGUUGGCACACACCUCCUUUCUACUCACUUUGUCCCAAAAUAAGUGUCUCAACUUUGUUCUAACUUCAGUACAAAGUUGAACUAAAGUUGAGACACUUAUUUUAGGACGGAGGGUUUCUACUGGCUCUUCUCACAUGGAUGGACUAGUCUACCAAGCAGAGAGCAAAGGCUGGCUGCCUCGAGAAUAUCCAACAUCAAGCACCGGGGAUGCGUUGAGCUGAAUCACUUGUUUUGUAAGCACCUUGUGAGUUUAAUUUGGUAAAAAACUUUUUUUCUCUAAGAACCUCCCGUGGACAUUCUCUCUUAAGGAUAGAGUAGACUCUUAUGGUCAUAUGAGUUAACCACCGGCGCAAAAUAAGUGCCAAAAGAUGAGAGUUGACCCAGUCUUAUGGCUAUGAGCUCGCCGCUAACUAUUGAUGGCACUACCAAUGAAUCAAAGGGAAGAUAGGGGCAUCAUGGCAUCUCCAACGCUGACCCCAAACCGGACACCCCAGGACCGGUUGGGACCAGAUAGGAAUCAACCAUCCAGAGCUAGCCGCAUACAUUUCAAAGCGGAUUUCAACAAACAGGGCGAAUCACAUGUAAAUUGAAUGAUUUUCAUAUAAACUGGACGAAAACAUUUACAUCUGCGACAUAUUUCAACUAAACUAUGGCGGGCUAGGCUAGGCUAUUCUAUCCUAGCUAGUCUAUUGCCCGCUGCGAUGAAGCCACAUUCUAAUGACAUGUCUUCCCCAUGUCCGGCAGCAAGAGCACUGGACCGUCGUAAGCCCCGAAGGUAUAAAUGCUUCAACGGGAGGGGAAGAAUAGCCUUCGCCUCCGUGAAGCACAAAUAAGGUUGGUGUUGGGGGUGAGGCGAAGACAGUCACGUGGACUAGACUCCACAAAGAAGGCAAGUCACCGGUUGUGUAGGCCGGCAAGACGGUGACUCAAGUGGCGGCAGCCUCUCAUGGUCUAUUAUUCCCUGCCAUCGACAGUGGCGGCGGGUGUGCCGGCUUCAUCGGCAUGGUGGUGCCGAUGCAAAAUUGGCGACAUCGCCAUCGGUGGCCCAGUCAAAUUCCUCCAUGGCCGCGUCAACCACUGUGAACAUGGCUUCUUUCUCUGCCUAUCAGACGCGUUGCCACCAUCAUCGCUCGUGACGGAUUUGGCAGGAGAAGGCGCCACCAUCAUCGCUCGUGACGGAUUUGGCAGGAGAAGGCGUUGGCCAGCCUGGACGGACUGGCAAUGGUGGUAGCGUCGGCUCCGAAGAGCUUGCCGACAAGCCAGCCUGUAUCCAGCUAGCUCACCAGGCCACCCAACCAGCUGCAAUGCCGGAGAACUCCUUCUGCUCACCAAAGAGGCCGCCCCGCAUGGCUUUGGAGCCGGAGGCCAUGGUGGGUGUGCUACAUGGAGGAGAUGGAGAGCAGAUGUGUGGUAUGGUUCUUGCUCGACCAUUGGCCACGUCUAAAUAGUGGGUGCAUGCAAGGCGCCAACCGGCGAGGUGUUUAUAAUGCUAGCCGCCACAGGGACAAACGUGUGGCGCUCAGGGCGUCGGAGUAGGUUCCUGCGCACAUGCACUUGUUUAAUGGAGGUAGGCGGGGGAUGUCGUUUCAACGCAGAGAGAAGGCGUGCGCAGCGGGCCUCACCCGACGCGCCGCUUCAAUGCCGACUAUAGUGAGAGGUCACGUCCACUCUGGGCCGUCAUGAAUGCGACACUCGCGCUCUAGCGGGAAAGGGCGCAUGCCAGUGAGAGGGUUUUGGGUGGGCCAAGGUCGUUGAAAGCAUGCACGACAGUUGUCCGGACUCACCCAAAGUCCCCAAAGUUUGCUUCUAGUUUGCACGAAAAAGGACGUCCAGACCGGCCGACGAAUGGAUACAGGCCGGUCUGGACCGCAUGAUCCCGACGGAUACGAGCAGUUUGCGGAUCAGCGUUGGAGAUGCCCUAAGAAAAAAAGGAUGCCACAAAAUCAUGAAAACCUUAUUGGGAUCAUCUGUCUUAAUUUUGUUGUCGUGUGUUUUGAUUACUUUACAUAUAUGUAUCAAGCACAUAACCCGUGGUACAUGUGUGUGAGUGUUUCAUGGUGUACCAUGCUACUAGAUAAAGCCAAAAUAAUAAAGUUAAUAUUAACUAGAUAAAGCCAAAAUAAUAAAGUUAAUAUUAGCAUUAAGAUGUCUUUCAAACUUCCAUGGAAGCUAAAUACUCCCUCUCUCUCAGUUUAUAGGGCGUGCGCGUACCCCUAGGUCAUCAAUUUGGCCAACCUAAUACAAGUCAUAUAUUACAAAAAAUAUACCAAUAUAAACUUUAGAUGUUCUACUUUCAAAAUGUAUAAUUUUUGUGUUAUAUAAUUUAUAUUAGGGCGAUAAAAUUGACAACCUAGGUAUACGCGUAGGACUUGUAAACUGAAAUGGAGGGAGUAUAAUACAAAUAAAUGCUAUCGUGUGAGAAAUAAAUGAGUUAACUAUGCAUACAAUUUGCAGCAUGCUCUUGCACGUCGUGGAACAACUGUAGGACGUGCAUGCAAGGAUGAAAAUAUAACCCGAAUCAUCACAGAGAAAGUUGGCCAUAAAUAAGGAGUUCAGUAUUUUUUAGAGAAAACUCAUUGUAGAUAAAGCCAAGACUCAUAAAUUUUGAGGAUUUUUCUAAUGCGAUUAGCCAAAUUGGUAAAACUAGAUAUUGCCUUGCGCAUUGCCGGGAAAAUUUGUUGCAACACAAAUUAAUGAGUGUUGGUUGUAUGUAACAUGGAUAAUUUAACUAAUAAUAUGAUAAAUGAGACUGAAAAUACAUAUGACCUAUUGUACUUCUCUCUUGUAUAGUUGCCAAGUUUAUUGAAUAUAGAUAGCAUAACCGUGUGAACAUACAUGGUUGCAUGUUGAGGUGGGUGUUUUCUCAUGCAUGGCUGCAAGUUCAGGUGGCAUGUUUGCAUGGUGAGAGAAGUACCUUAGUAGGGAUCACCUGUUUUAGGACAUGAAGCAAUCCACCAAUUGGGAAGUAGUAUUUAAAUCAAGUGAAAUGUUUUUCUUGAAUACACUUGUCCAGCAUAAACGGAGUAUUAAAUUAAGAUACUUGUUGAAUACAAGUGCAAGUGCGCAUCAACUGUUAGUCCACCAUAAUGUGCACCGAUACUUUUGUAUUUUAUAAUUAAGUGAUUAUUAAAGGGCACAUGCAUAGCAACUUCCACAACUCACACUGUGAGUGCAAUAGACACAUGAAAGCACAUCAACAACCUUACUUAUGCAAACUACAACAUACAUGGUUGCAACACCGAGAAGAAUGCAACACAAAAAAUGUUAUGGUAACUAGGUCCAAAAUUGCACAAUCGGCUAGACAAAAGAGCUAUAGAUGGGAACUUCUGGUUUUGAUUUCCAUGGGAGAUUGCCAAUGCUCUCGAUUUUUUUGCUUUGGAAAGAUUUUCCUUUGCUUGACAAAGAAGAAUAAAUAUUGAACCGACAUUGGAUAAUUAACUACUACUAAUGAAGAUGAAUCAACUUACAGUUCCACCUAGGGCAUUUUUAGAAGUAUUGUAACACAAAUAUGAUGAGGAAGUCUGAAAGUGUGCUGUUGACUGUUACUGUUUGUAAUGACACUGGUUGAUUGUAAAGGUGUACCUUGGUUCAAAACAUGCAUAACAUUGUGGCCAAAUACCAAGGCAAAUCUAUUCUGGUCACAAUUCCUAGUAAAAUUAACCCUG
rnacentral:lncRNA from 1 species